GGCCGUGACCGUGACCGUGGCCGCCGGCAGCUCGCGCAAACCGUGCCAAAAGAGGACGCGGCAGACGACGGGGGCUGGGACGUCGACGCUCUGGGCUGGGCACCGGGGCAGAGUGGCCAGGGGGACUGUCGGAGUUGGAGCCCCGGGCCGCUGCCGCAGCGGCUGCCCGACCCCAAGGCCCGGUGAGGGCUUGCACACAGGUCCCGUGGCCGCGGGAGGCAGCGAGCUGCAGAGCGGUGAGGCCCGCACGGUUGGUGCGGUCAAGGCGUAAGCCCAGGCGGCGGAAAGAGCGCACCAAGAACUCCAGCACCGCCCCGUGGCCGCACGCCGCCGCCCACAUCACCGGGCUGUUGCCCGCCGAGUCCGUCGCCUCCGGAUCGCCGCUGUACUGCACCAGCAGCUGCACGGCGUCUAAGUGGCCUCGCUCGCAGGCCAGGCUGAGUGCAGUGCGGCCG
rnacentral:lncRNA from 1 species